UGGGGAAUAUUGGACAAUGGGCGAAAGCCUGAUCCAGCCAUGCCGCGUGUGUGAAGAAGGUCUUCGGAUUGUAAAGCACUUUAAGUUGGGAGGAAGGGCAGUAAGCGAAUACCUUGCUGUUUUGACGUUACCGACAGAAUAAGCACCGGCUAACUCUGUGCCAGCAGCCGCGGUAAUACAGAGGGUGCAAGCGUUAAUCGGAAUUACUGGGCGUAAAGCGCGCGUAGGUGGUUCGUUAAGUUGAAUGUGAAAGCCCCGGGCUCAACCUGGGAACUGCAUCCAAAACUGGCGAGCUAGAGUAGGGCAGAGGGUGGUGGAAUUUCCUGUGUAGCGGUGAAAUGCGUAGAUAUAGGAAGGAACACCAGUGGCGAAGGUGACCACCUGGGCUCAUACUGACACUGAGGUGCGAAAGCGUGGGGAGCAAACAGG
rnacentral:rRNA from 1 species